rnacentral:rRNA from 1 species
CAGCAGCCGCGGGAAUACGUAGGGUGCAAGCGUUAAUCGGGAUUACUGGGCGUAAAGCGUGCGCAGGCGGUUUGUUAAGACAGAUGUGAAAUCCCCGGGCUCAACCUGGGAACUGCAUUUGUGACUGGCAAGCUAGAGUGUGGCAGAGGGGGGUGGAAUUCCGCGUGUAGCAGUGAAAUGCGUAGAUAUGCGGAGGAACACCGAUGGCGAAGGCAGCCCCCUGGGCCAACACUGACGCUCAUGCACGAAAGCGUGGGGAGCAAACAGGAUUAGAUACCCCAGUAGUCCCUGUCUCUUAUAC